rnacentral:misc_RNA from 1 species
AUUGCCUUUUCAACAGGAAGGUAAACCACUGAAUAUUUAGCUGAAGAAGCACCAUCGCAAAUCCCUUUUGUGCAAGAGUCCAGGUCAGUUUCAGUGGUUGAGGAAGAUAAUUCUGAACAAGCCUGUGCCUGAAACACAGCUUUUCCGUGUAGCAGCUUCUCGCUACAUUUUAACCUCUGUCUGAAAUUGUAAGCGGAUCCAACUUGAUCAUCAUACAUGCAUGGGUGCAUCUUCCGAUUUUUCUGGCAAGUAGAUUUUUCAGCACUUGAA